CAGUGUCAUAACGUAUGCUUUUGAGUAAGUUGAAUAUUGACCGGAGUGGGUGCUGUAUUCAAAUUUCUAAUACCUGAAGGAUCAUUCAUGCUCUGACCUCCUUGCAGCUUUGGCUAUGAUCCUUUUGGGUUGAGCAAGAAGCCAGAAGAUUUCGCCAAAUACAAAGUCUAUGAGCUCAUCCAUGCAAAGGUGGGCAAUGCCGGUGCAGCCGGCUUCGUCAUCUUAGAGGCCUUCGACGACGACAAGUUUGGUGCAAAUUGUGGUCCUGAGGCUGUCUGGUUCAAGAUGGUGCUCUUCUCCUAGAUGGAAUUACAUCGAAUUAUUUUGGAAGUAACAUUCCGAUCAAUCUUGUGGUUGCUGUCAUUGCUGAGAUCGUGCUGGUUGGAGGUGCUGAAUACUAUAGAAUUAUCAAUGGACUGGUAAGGAAGACCUCAACAUCGAAAUCAGUCAUUUACUUUGUGUUCUGUUAAAUUAGAUGAUACCAGACUGCUCAUAUUAGAAGGAUUUGGAGGACAAGCUCAACCCUGGAGGUCCAUUUGAUCCUCUGGGGCUGGCAAACGAAGCUGCACUGCUCAAGGUGAAGGAGAUUAAGAGCAGGCGGCUAGCGAUGCUCGCAAUGCUUGGUCUCUUCCUGCAGGCCUAUUCCACUGGGAAAGUGCCAGUGGAGAACCUGAUGACACAUCCGAGUGAACCAUUCAGAAACAAUUUGCUCACUGUAAUUUCCCAGCUGCUUUUUCUUCCAUGAUUUCUAUGCCAUGUAAAACGAUGAAAUCACUCGAGGCAAUGCAAAAUGUCACUGUAAGCU